rnacentral:misc_RNA from 1 species
GAUGAAGAACGCAGCGAAAUGCGAUAAGUAAUGCGAAUUGCAGAAUUCAGUGAAUCAUCGAAUCUUUGAACGCACAUUGCGCCCCUUGGUAUUCCGAGGGGCAUGCCUGUUCGAGCGUCAUAUUAACCACUCCCGCUUGCGGGGUCUUGGGCUUCGCCUCCGGGCGGGCCUUAAAAUCAGUGGCGGUGCCGUCGGGCUCUACGCGUAGUAAAUUUUCUCGCGAUAGGGUCCCGGUGGAUGCUUGCCAACAACCCCCAACUUCUUAAGGUUGACCUCGGAUCAGGUAGGGAUACCCGCUGAACUUAAGCAUAUCAAUAAGCGGAGGA